rnacentral:rRNA from 1 species
GAUGAACGCUGGCGGCGUGCCUAAUACAUGCAAGUCGAGCGAACAGACGAGGAGCUUGCUCCUCUGACGUUAGCGGCGGACGGGUGAGUAACACGUGGAUAACCUACCUAUAAGACUGGGAUAACUUCGAGAAACCGGAGCUAAUACCGGAUAAUAUAUUGAACCGCAUGGUUCAAUAGUGAAAGACGGUUUUGCUGUCACUUAUAGAUGGAUCCGCGCCGCAUUAGCUAGUUGGUAAGGUAACGGCUUACCAAGGCAACGAUGCGUAGCCGACCUGAGAGGGUGAUCGGCCACCCUGGAACUGAGACACGGUCCAGACUCCUACGGGAGGCAGCAGUAGGGAAUCUUCCGCAAUGGGCGAAAGCCUGACGGAGCAACGCCGCGUGAGUGAUGAAGGUCUUCGGAUCGUAAAACUCUGUUAUUAGGGAAGAACAAAUGUGUAAGUAACUAUGCACGUCUUGACGGUACCUAAUCAGAAAGCCACGGCUAACUACGUG